GGGUUGUGAGGUUAAGCGACUAAGCGUACACGGUGGAUGCCCUGGCAGUCAGAGGCGAUGAAGGACGUGCUAAUCUGCGAAAAGCGCCGGCGAGGUGAUAUGAACCUUUGACCCGGCGAUGUCCGAAUGGGGAAACCCAGUGCAAUUCGUUGCACUAUCGUUAACUGAAUACAUAGGUUAACGAGGCGAACCGGGGGAACUGAAACAUCUAAGUACCCCGAGGAAAAGAAAUCAACCGAGAUUCCCCCAGUAGCGGCGAGCGAACGGGGAGCAGCCCAGAGUCUGAAUCAGCUUGUGUGUUAGUGGAAGCGUCUGGAAAGUCGCACGGUACAGGGUGACAGUCCCGUACACGAAAGCACACAGGCUGUGAACUCGAAGAGUAGGGCGGGACACGUGGUAUCCUGUCUGAAUAUGGGGGGACCAUCCUCCAAGGCUAAAUACUCCUGACUGACCGAUAGUGAACCAGUACCGUGAGGGAAAGGCGAAAAGAACCCCGGCGAGGGGAGUGAAAAAGAACCUGAAACCGUGUACGUACAAGCAGUGGGAGCACCUUCGUGGUGUGACUGCGUACCUUUUGUAUAAUGGGUCAGCGACUUAUAUUCUGUAGCAAGGUUAACCGUAUAGGGGAGCCGAAGGGAAACCGAGUCUUAACUGGGCGUUAAGUUGCAGGGUAUAGACCCGAAACCCGGUGAUCUAGCCAUGGGCAGGUUGAAGGUUGGGUAACACUAACUGGAGGACCGAACCGACUAAUGUUGAAAAAUUAGCGGAUGACUUGUGGCUGGGGGUGAAAGGCCAAUCAAACCGGGAGAUAGCUGGUUCUCCCCGAAAGCUAUUUAGGUAGCGCCUCGUGAACUCAUCUUCGGGGGUAGAGCACUGUUUCGGCUAGGGGGCCAUCCCGGCUUACCAACCCGAUGCAAACUACGAAUACCGAAGAAUGUUAUCACGGGAGACACACGGCGGGUGCUAACGUCCGUCGUGAAGAGGGAAACAACCCAGACCGCCAGCUAAGGUCCCAAAGUCAUGGUUAAGUGGGAAACGAUGUGGGAAGGCACAGACAGCCAGGAUGUUGGCUUAGAAGCAGCCAUCAUUUAAAGAAAGCGUAAUAGCUCACUGGUCGAGUCGGCCUGCGCGGAAGAUGUAACGGGGCUAAACCAUGCACCGAAGCUGCGGCAGCGACGCKUAUGCGUUGUUGGGUAGGGGAGCGUUCUGUAAGCCGUUGAAGGUGKSCUGUGAGGSWUGCUGGAGGUAUCAGAAGUGCGAAUGCUGACAUAAGUAACGAUAAAGCGGGUGAAAAGCCCGCUCGCCGGAAGACCAAGGGUUCCUGUCCAACGUUAAUCGGGGCAGGGUGAGUCGACCCCUAAGGCGAGGCCGAAAGGCGUAGUCGAUGGGAAACAGGUUAAUAUUCCUGUACUUGGUGUUACUGCGAAGGGGGGACGGAGAAGGCUAUGUUAGCCGGGCGACGGUUGUCCCGGUUUAAGCAUGUAGGCGGAACGAUUAGGUAAAUCCGGUCGUUUUUUAACGCUGAGGUGUGAUGACGAGGCACUACGGUGCUGAAGUAACAAAUGCCCUGCUUCCAGGAAAAGCCUCUAAGCAUCAGGUAACACGAAAUCGUACCCCAAACCGACACAGGUGGUCAGGUAGAGAAUACCAAGGCGCUUGAGAGAACUCGGGUGAAGGAACUAGGCAAAAUGGUGCCGUAACUUCGGGAGAAGGCACGCUGAUAUGUAGGUGAAGCCCCUGCGGGUGGAGCUGAAAUCAGUCGAAGAUACCAGCUGGCUGCAACUGUUUAUUAAAAACACAGCACUGUGCAAACACGAAAGUGGACGUAUACGGUGUGACGCCUGCCCGGUGCCGGAAGGUUAAUUGAUGGGGUUAGCGGCAACGCGAAGCUCUUGAUCGAAGCCCCGGUAAACGGCGGCCGUAACUAUAACGGUCCUAAGGUAGCGAAAUUCCUUGUCGGGUAAGUUCCGACCUGCACGAAUGGCGUAAUGAUGGCCAGGCUGUCUCCACCCGAGACUCAGUGAAAUUGAACUCGCUGUGAAGAUGCAGUGUACCCGCGGCAAGACGGAAAGACCCCGUGAACCUUUACUAUAGCUUGACACUGAACACUGGUCCUUGAUGUGUAGGAUAGGUGGGAGGCUUUGAAGCGUGGACGCCAGUCUGCGUGGAGCCGACCUUGAAAUACCACCCUUUAAUGGCUGGUGUUCUAACGUAGACCCGUWACCCGGGUUGCGGACAGUGUCUGGUGGGUAGUUUGACUGGGGCGGUCUCCUCCCAAAGAGUAACGGAGGAGCACGAAGGUUAGCUAAUCCUGGUCGGACAUCAGGAGGUUAGUGCAAUGGCAUAAGCUAGCUUGACUGCGAGAGUGACGGCUCGAGCAGGUGCGAAAGCAGGUCAUAGUGAUCCGGUGGUUCUGAAUGGAAGGGCCAUCGCUCAACGGAUAAAAGGUACUCCGGGGAUAACAGGCUGAUACUGUUCGGGUUGUCAUGCCAAUGGCACUGCCCGGUAGCUAAAUGCGGAAAAGAUAAGUGCUGAAAGCAUCUAAGCACGAAACUUGCCCCGAGAUGAGUUCUCCCUGACUCCUUGAGAGUCCUGAAGGAACGUUGAAGACUACGACGUUGAUAGGUCGGGUGUGUAAGCGCAGCGAUGCGUUGAGCUAACCGAUACUAAUGAACCGUGAGGCUUAACCUUACAACGCCGAAGGUGUUU
rnacentral:rRNA from 1 species